GGCAGUGUGAUAUAGUGGUUUGAAUGUUGGACUACAGCUCUGAGAGACCAAGGUUCAAAUCCUUGCUCAGCCA